rnacentral:tRNA from 1 species
GCGAACAUAGUUUAAUGGCAAAACAUUAGCCUUCCAAGUUGAUGAUACGGGUUCGAUUCCCGUUGUUCGCU